UACGUAGGGUGCGAGCGUUGUCCGGAAUUACUGGGCGUAAAGAGCGUGUAGGCGGCCAGGUAGGUCUGCUGUGAAAACUCGAGGCUUAACCUCGAGCUGUCGGCGGAAACCAUCUGGCUAGAGUCCGGAAGAGGAGAAUGGAAUUCCCGGUGUAGCGGUGAAAUGCGUAGAUAUCCGGAGGAACACCGGUGGCGAAGGCGGCUUCCUGGACCGACACUGACGCUGAGGCGCGAAAGCUAGGGGAGCAAACGGG
rnacentral:rRNA from 1 species